rnacentral:misc_RNA from 1 species
GGGGAAUGAGUUCUGCCAAAGCAGCACUUGAGAGUGAUACCAGAGUACUUGCUUUCGAGGCUGGAAGAAAACAGAAAGUUAGGGUGAACACAAUAUCUGCCGGCCCUUUACGGAGUCGAGCUGCAAAAGCAAUUGGUUUCAUAGAUAUGAUGAUUGACUACUCGAUAGCCAACGCGCCUCUGCAGAGAGAAUUAUCAGCAGAUGAAGUAGGAAAUACAGCUGCAUUCCUAGCAUCGCCACUCGCUUCAGCAAUUACUGGUGCUGUUAUAUAUGUUGACAACGGUUUGAAUGCAAUGGGCGUGGGAGUCGACAGUCCUAUAUUUAAAGACCUCAACAUUCCCAAGAGUACGGAAUAGAAGACAUCGUGUGUUAGACGAGUUUGUAUUUGUGUUUUUCCCAUAACAUUAUUAUGGUCAGAGCCAAGAGUUCUCGUCCAUCGGCUUUCGUGAAAUUAUCUACUGCUGUAUGAUUGAUACUUUUAUAGAGUAAAUAGAAGUAAUGAGUUUCCAGUUAUGAAU